rnacentral:rRNA from 1 species
GCGUUGUCCGGAAUUAUUGGGCGUAAAGAGAACGUAGGUGGUUUCUUAAGUUUGGGCUUAAAGACUGGGGCUUAACCCCAGGACUGGCUCGAAAACUGGGAGACUCGAGGAUGUCAGAGGAAAGUGGAAUUCCGAGUGUAGCGGUGAAAUGCGUAGAUAUUCGGAGGAACACCAGUGGCGAAAGCGACUUUCUGGGACAUUCCUGACACUGAGGUUCGAAAGCUCG